rnacentral:rRNA from 1 species
AAGCGACCAAGCGUACACGGUGGAUGCCCUGGCAGUCAGAGGCGAUGAAGGACGUGCUAAUCUGCGAAAAGCGCCGGCGAGGUGAUAUGAACCCUUGACCCGGCGAUGUCCGAAUGGGGAAACCCAGUGUGACUCGUCACACUAUCAUUAACUGAAUCCAUAGGUUAAUGAGGCGAACCGGGGGAACUGAAACAUCUAAGUACCCCGAGGAAAAGAAAUCAACCGAGAUUCCCCCAGUAGCGGCGAGCGAACGGGGAGGAGCCCAGAGCCUGAAUCAGCAGGUGUGUUAGUGGAAGUGUCUGGAAAGGCACGCGAUACAGGGUGAGAGCCCCGUACACGAAAAUGCACCUGCUGUGAGCUCGAUGAGUAGGGCGGGACACGUGGUAUCCUGUCUGAAUAUGGGGGGACCAUCCUCCAAGGCUAAAUACUCCUGACUGACCGAUAGUGAACCAGUACCGUGAGGGAAAGGCGAAAAGAACCCCGGCGAGGGGAGUGAAAAAGAACCUGAAACCGUGUACGUACAAGCAGUGGGAGCACCCUUUGGGGUGUGACUGCGUACCUUUUGUAUAAUGGGUCAGCGACUUAUAUUCUGUAGCAAGGUUAACCGUAUAGGGGAGCCGGAGGGAAACCGAGUCUUAAUUGGGCGUUAAGUUGCAGGGUAUAG